CAAGACUUUAUCUACCGUUUACAAGUCAACCCCAUAAUACCAAAGUACAAGAGAAGCAAACAUUAGAGAUCAACCUAUAAGUCAAACUCCCAUUCCAGAUCAAACUAUUGAGUCACAUCCCCAUUUCAGAGCAAACUGGGAACGAGGAGAAGCAAUAGGGCUUGGCUAUUUCUGGGGCAUCGGUCGUUUUGAGAUUCUGGUGUAAUUAGAAAGUCGGGUCGUGGGAGGAAGAAGCUGGUUUGUUGCCAUUUUUAGGUAUAUAAUUAUGUGGCCUGAUAGCAUAUUCAAAGCCUAUUUAGUUAUAUGGGUUUUUUAUUUAUCUUUCUAAAGCUUUUCUGCCUGGAUUUUAAAUGUGAUUGAUAAUUACUUAGCACGAUAAUUGUCAAGCAUUUAAUCGUUAUUCAUGAAUACAAAAUCUUCA